GGGAGGGGAUGAGUGGAAAGACACCUGCUUCCUUCUAUGAUGUCACUGUGGGAGGCCCCUUCUCACCAAGUCCUGAUGGAGGAGGUGACGUGGAUAUGGAAGCUCGGCCUGCCCAGAGCCCUGAGUCAUAGGAUCUGGCCCAUGAACUUGAGAAGCAUGGGCUCUUGUGUCAUGGCUUCAGAGGCUGCCAGGGCUGGCUCAGCCUUCUGAAGCUAGGUGUGAGAAGGGAUGGGGUACAGGCAGGCCUGAGAGUGGGUGUCCUAACUCCCAACAUGGCACCUCACCUACAAGCCACCAAUGUAGCUCAUCUUUCUCUCCCAUGCUCCACCCGGGGCCUUGCAUUUGUCUUUUUGUUAAGCCAGACCUGCUCCUUCCUCCCGCCAUUUUGACUGUUUCUGGGCUGAGGUUUAACAUGUCACGCUGAUUCAGAGCCAGAAAGAGUCCGCGUUGAAAACAUAACCCAUCCGAAACCUCAGGAGAUAGGGAAUAGUCAUGCGGGUGUGGAAGGUGAUAGGGACACGUGGGGACAGCAGCCUGAGACUGACAAGACAGGAAGCUGCUGUCAUUCCAGGCUACCGGCCAGAGAGGACGCGGCAGUGGAGGGUGGGCUGGUAGGGCCUGGAUCUGAGGCUGAACAGGUCACAGACCUGUUAACAUAGCUUCCCUCCAAUGUCUCGCCAGAACUGAACAGCACGUCUGCCUUUGAAGGUUGGCCGGAGUUGUUAAUCACUAAUAGUGCAAAUGUCACCUCUGUCCUGAAUGAGGAGGGAAGGGACAGACUAUUUUAGGAAGAUGACUUGCUUCCUGCACAUUUUUUUUUUCCAGAAGAUAGAGUAGUGUCUGGUGCUUAACGGAACACCAGAUGUUUUGAUAGGCCAUCACAGCGAGAUCUGCGGAGGCUGUGAGACAGGCUGAUUGACGUGCAUACGUGGAUGACGCUGGACUCAAUCUGACUUAAGAAUCAGCUCAGAUGCAGUGGUUAUCCUCGCGCUUCGGGCUCUGUGUCCUUGUUCAAAUGGGGACUCUCAUUUUCGGGCUUCUAUAGAAAUGAAUGACAAAGGGAACGUAUAGAGAACUUGCUUGUCCCGGUAAACAAGUGCCACCCAGGAGAGCUGUCCGUCCUCGCUGCUCGACCAUGGUUAUCAUCCAGACACGCUCUGGGGUGGGCACCUGGAAUCCUCACCACAGAAACAACAAACGUAUUCAAGAGCUGGCUUGCCCACUGCCUCCCUCCCUCAAAGGAGUAGUUUACUCUUCAAAGUCUGCAAGCCCCUCCUCUGUCCUUUUUUUUUUUUUUUUUUUUUUUUUUUUUUUUUUUAAUGUCUCUUUCACCUCCCUACCCUUGUUUGGAAGAGAUUCUGGAGCAUUCUGUCAGGCGUUGUGGGAAAGCCGUUCCUUCAGGAGCUAGGUCUGAGUUCAUCUACCCAAGUGCUUUCUGAACAGUCUGUGAACACUGUUGGGCAGGUCAGGUAGCAGACGGCUCGCCCCUCUAUGAGACAGCAUAAUUUCCCUUAUUAAAACUGAGUUCUGCCUCCCUGCCAUGCUUGGACCAACUCCGUGGAUCUUUCUGGAAUGAAUGUAGCUUCAUUUUCUAUGUCACAGCCCUUGAAAUGUGGGGGAGUAAACAUGGUAGGCCCAGCAGAUAUUUUCAUUCUUUGGUUUCCAUUUGCGACAGAGUAGC
rnacentral:lncRNA from 1 species